UUUCAUCUUCUUCAUCUUUUCCACUAAAACCCUAACCCUGAAUCCGCUGUUUCAUUGUAAUUCGUUCUACCACAAAACCCUAGGUUGUCCCACAAACUGAAUUGAUUCUCCCAGAACUAUGCUUCGAUCUCUAGCUUUGCAUCUAUUUCUCCGAUCUGUAACAUUUUAUUCUUUCUUCAAUUUCUUCGAUCUGUUCAAAUCAACCAUUCUAUUUUGUUUUAUAACCAAAGAAGAAAUUAAACCUCCUUUUAUUUCAUCAUCAGUAGUAUAUUGAAUAAGAAUACAAAAGAAAUCAGUGAUGAAGAUAUUUGGUUUAAAACAGUUCUUUCACUGGGAAUUAUUCGCGGAUUUCUUUGUAUUGGGUAAUUCUCAGUUUCACAUUUAAUGGCAAGGGGAUGGAAAUACGCAAAAUUCUUCUAUGGUAGCAAAUCAAUGUGACAAUCCCUCUACAAUCUCAUACACCCUAUUUUGCAUGAUGUCCUGUACCAGUUCUAUAUGAAUAGCAUGUUAGAAUUUUCCAUUUGGUAAUGGUGUAAAGAUGAAAUUUUCCAUUGUUAAUGAAUUAUCAUAUCUCUGUCAGGUUGAGGGGAAGUACAAAAAUUAUAUUUUUCCGCUUGCAGUAUCGAUUGUUUUAUCUGGAAAGUAUGAAGAUAAUCUGGAUAACAGAGAUGUUGUAUUUUAUAUUGGUCAAGGUGGAAAUGAUUUUAAAGGUAUAUGUCGACAAACCAAUGACCAAGUGCAUGAUGUCGCGUGGGAACUUGGCGCUAAAGAACAACUAUAACCAAGAUGUCUUUGCGAGACUCAUUCGGGGGCAUAUAUCAGAAGAUGGGAAACCUGGAAGAUUUUACACCUUCGACGGGUUGUACAAGGUGAUUAAGUAUUGGGCAGAGAAAGGCACUACCAAAUUUACUGUUUUUUAGAUUCACCUAAAACGACUCUAAGACCAGCCUCCAUUGACAACUAAAAAGGUCAAGUAUUGUAAAGGGCAUGUUCCUAACAGGAUCGCAGAAUUACAUAGGUUUGUGUGCCAAGUGGAGGACAAGAAGAAUAGAACUUCGAUAGGCGAGAGGUGUAAGCAUCGCGAGGUGUUCUUGGACCUGAUGCCCAUGACCUACCGGAUAGCCAUUCUCAUUACGGCCACCAAUUUAAUUGAUCCUCCUCUUGCACCCAAGGAAAGUUCAAAAUAUUUCCACCAUAUUUAAUUGAUCCUCAUCAUAUACAUUUUCAGAUAAACUUCUCUUUUUGUAUAAAAAGAUAAUCAAAGUUUAGACGUAGUAGAUGAGUUGUUGGAAAUGCAUGAAUGAUUCAAAUACUAAUGUGAAGCACCCUGUGAUGCGAAGGGACUUGCAAUAAUACAAGAAUUUGUGGUUGUGCAAAAUUAAAUGGAGUUGAUUUUCCAUAUGUUAGCAGAGACGGGGGAAGACUUUUUGUACCAAAGUCAAUUGUAUAUGAAUGUGGUUGUGGUGAUGGUUGUGCAAAAAAAUCAUCAGAGCGUGGGAUAAAGUACCGAUUAGAGGUUUUCCAUACGACAAGUAAAGGAUGGGGAGUAAGAAGUUGGGACUUUAUUCCCUCUGGUGGUCUUGUAUGUGAAUGAAUACACGCGUGUUUACAAAAUGUAAUCAUCUUUGCUGAUUCGUAACAAGACAGUGCUUAUAUUGCAGGUGGUAGAAAUUCUAAGAAGAGGCAAAGUGAAACAUGAACACGACAAAAGAACUGGACCUAUCAAGGUUGAUAGUAAUCUCUACUCCUAGGAGGAGGAUGAUCUUAUGGAUGUACUUAUAACGUGCAGGUAUGGUGUAUGAUUCACAUCUUGUCACCACCUCUCCUAAUUGGAUGACCCAAAAAUUUGAAUUUCGUUGUUAAUCAGCAAAUGAAGACGCAAAUGAUGAAGUGGUGCAAGUAAAAGUUUACUAAAUUGUAUGAGGGUGUUUUUAAGUUUUUUUGCUUAAGUAGGUGAAAGGAAUUGAAGUUGAGUACUGUUAAUGUUGAAGUUUUCAGAUUUGAAAUAGGGGUGAUUUCAGUUGUAAUGAAGAUUGCAAAACGAGGGGAAUAAAUUCAUAUCAUCAUAAUUUUGAUCUCAU